UACGUAGGUGGCAAGCGUUGUCCGGAUUUACUGGGCGUAAAGAGCGCGCAGGCGGUCGUUCAAGUCGCGUGUGAAAGCCCCCGGCUCAACUGGGGAGGGUCACGCUAUACUGAUCGACUCGAAGGCAGGAGAGGGAAGUGGAAUUCCCGGUGUAGUGGUGAAAUGCGUAGAUAUCGGGAGGAACACCAGUGGCGAAGGCGACUUCCUGGCCUGUUCUUGACGCUGAGGCGCGAAAGCUAGGGGAGCAAACGGG
rnacentral:rRNA from 1 species